rnacentral:tRNA from 1 species
UUCCUGGUGGUUCAGUGGCUGGGACUCAGCGCUUUCGCAGCUGUAGCCUGGGUUCAAUCCCUGGUCAGGGAA